rnacentral:rRNA from 1 species
UACGUAGGGGGCAAGCGUUGUCCGGAAUUAUUGGGCGUAAAGAGCGCGUAGGCGGUCCGAUAAGUCGGCUGUGAAAGUCCAGGGCUCAACCCUGGAAAGCCGGCCGAUACUGUCGGACUAGAGUCCGGAAGAGGCAAGUGGAAUUCCCGGUGUAGCGGUGAAAUGCGCAGAUAUCGGGAGGAACACCUGAGGCGAAGGCGGGCUACUGGGCCGAUACUGACGCUGAGGAGCGAAAGCCAGGGGAGCAAACGGG